AAGUCGUAACAAGGUUUCCGUAGGUGAACCUGCGGAAGGAUCAUUAAAAGAGAUAUAUUCCUUUUUUUUCCUUUUUGGGCCCUAAAAAACCCAAAAGAAAAAAAAGAAUAAUCCCAACCCUUGUCUAUACAAACCAAAAUUGUUGCUUCGGCGAAGUCAAGAAUAUUGAAUAAGACUCGACUUCUUUUUUGUCUUCGUUUUUGAAUAUUUCUCGCCAGAAGAUGAUAAAUUUAAACUCUUUUGUUUUACAAUAAAACUGUCUGAUUAUACAAAAUGAAAUUUUAAACCAGAUUGACUUCAUAAACCAGUCUGAAUUAAAAUAUCAUAAAUUAUAAAUAUAAAUACAA
rnacentral:misc_RNA from 1 species